GUUAUAUGGUCAAGUGAAGAAGCGCAUACGGUGGAUGCCUUGGCAGUCAGAGGCGAUGAAAGACGUGGUAGCCUGCGAUAAGCUUCGGGGAGUCGGCAAACAGACUUUGAUCCGGAGAUCUCUGAAUGGGGGAACCCACCUAGCAUAAGCUGGGUAUCAUGCACUGAAUACAUAGGUGCAAGAGGCGAACCAGGGGAACUGAAACAUCUAAGUACCCUGAGGAAAAGAAAUCAACCGAGAUUCCCUUAGUAGUGGCGAGCGAACGGGGACUAGCCCUUAAGUUGAUUAGAGUGUAGUGGAAGGCUCUGGAAAGUGCCGCCGUAGUGGGUGAUAGCCCCGUACACGAAAUGCUCUUAUCAAUGAAAUCGAGUAGGACGGAGCACGAGAAACUUUGUCUGAAUAUGGGGGGACCAUC
rnacentral:rRNA from 1 species